GGACUACCCGGGUUUCUAAUCCUGUUUGAUCCCCACGCUUUCGCAUCUCAGCGUCAAUAUUGGGCCAGAUAGCCGCCUUCGCCACCGGUGUUCCUCCUGAUAUCUACGUAUUUCACCACUACACCAGGAAUUCCACUAUCCUCUCCCAUAUUCAAGCCAAGCAGUAUCAAGUGCACUUCCCGGGUUGAGCCCAGGGCUUUCACACCUGACUUAUUUGGCCGCCUACAUGCGCUUUACGCCCAAUGAUUCCGAACAACGCUAGGACCCCUCGUCUUACCGCGGCUGCUGGCAC
rnacentral:rRNA from 1 species